UACGAAGGGUGCAAGCGUUAAUCGGAAUUACUGGGCGUAAAGCGUGCGCAGGCGGUUGUGCAAGACCGAUGUGAAAUCUCCGGGCUUAACCUGGGAAUGGCAUUGGUGACUGCACGGCUAGAGUGUGUCAGAGGGGGGUAGAAUUCCACGUGUAGCAGUGAAAUGCGUAGAGAUGUGGAGGAAUACCGAUGGCGAAGGCAGCCCCCCUGGGAUAACACUGACGCUCAUGCACGAAAGCGUGGGGAGCAAACAGG
rnacentral:rRNA from 1 species